rnacentral:rRNA from 1 species
AACGAACGCUGGCGGCAGGCUUAACACAUGCAAGUCGAACGCAUGCCUUCGGGCAUGAGUGGCAGACGGGUGAGUAACGCGUGGGAACCUACCCCUUGGUACGGGAUAGCUCCGGGAAACUGGAGAUAAUACCGUAUGUGUCCUGAGGGACAAAGAUUCAUCGCCAAGGGAUGGGCCCGCGUCGGAUUAGCUAGUUGGUGGGGUAACGGCCUACCAAGGCGACGAUCCGUAGCUGGUCUAAGAGGAUGAUCAGCCACAUUGGGACUGAGACACGGCCCAAACUCCUACGGGAGGCAGCAGUGGGGAAUAUUGGACAAUGGGCGCAAGCCUGAUCCAGCCAUGCCGCGUGAGUGAUGAAGGCCCUAGGGUUGUAAAGCUCUUUCACCGGGGACGAUAAUGACGGUAACCGGAGAAGAAGCCCCGGCUAACUUCG